GUGCCAGCNGUNGCGGUUAGACAUAUAGGACAAGUGGUAUACAUUAAUGGUAUAAAGGGUCAGUAGUAUUGUUAUAUAUAUAAUAAAUAUAACUAGAAUAUUAUUAAAUAAAUUAUAAUGAAGUACAUGAGUAAAGGUUAAAUUUAUAGAUACAUGUAAGACAACCAAAAUAUGAAGAUUUAUAAUUAAAAUAAUAUUGACAUUGAGUGACGAAACCUAUAGUAUCAAAUUGGACUAGUCAACCAAUUAGUUAUAGGUGUAAACUAUGUAUGUUAUUUUUAAUAAAUUAAAAUAAUUAAUAAAAAUAAGUUAAUAUUAGAACAUACCACCUGAGGAGUACUAUACAAUGUAGAAACUCAAAACAAUAGACCGUUUAGGUUAUUAACAGUGGAUCAUGUUAUUUAAU
rnacentral:rRNA from 1 species